GCAGAAUUCCGCGAAUCAUCGAGUCUUUGAACGCAACUUGCGCCCGAGGCUUGUCCGAGGGCAUUUCCGCUAGAGCGUCACC
rnacentral:rRNA from 1 species